CAGCCGUGUGUUCAGCCCAGAGCGAACUAUUCUUUCGCCUUUUACUAAAGAAUACCGUGUGCGGGACACAACAUCGGCUUAUACACAUUUUUGGAACGCUCCUUCAUUGGGGCAC
rfam:Marchantia polymorpha subsp. polymorpha scaffold2615, whole genome shotgun sequence.